rnacentral:rRNA from 1 species
UACGUAGGGGGCAAGCGUUAUCCGGAAUUAUUGGGCGUAAAGGGUUCGUAGGCGGUGAAUUAAGUCUGAUGUUAAAGUGCUAGGCUCAACCUAGUGAUGCAUUGGAAACUGAUUCACUUGAGUAUGGUAGAGGCAAGUGGAAUUCCAUGUGUAGCGGUAAAAUGCGUAAAUAUAUGGAGGAACACCAGUGGCGAAGGCGGCUUGCUGGGCCAUUACUGACGCUGAGGAACGAAAGCGUGGGGAGCAAACAGG